GUGUCAGCCGCCGCGGUAAGACGAAGGUGGCAAGCGUUACUCGGAUUUACUAGGUGUAAAGCGUGGGCAGGUGGUUUGGUAAGUCUGCUGUGAAAGCUCCUGGCUUAACUGGGAGAGGCCAGUGGAUACUGCCAGGCUUGAAUAUGGGAGAGGUGACUGGAAUUCCUGGUGUAGCGGUGAAAUGCGUAGAGAUCAGGAGGAACAUCGAUGGCGAAAGCAGGUCACUGGACCAUUAUUGACACUCAUCCACGAAAGCUGGGGGAUCAAACAGGAUUAGAAACCCUUGUAGUCC
rnacentral:rRNA from 1 species